GCUGCCUAGUGGCAGAAAACACACUUCAAAAAGUUAUGGGGGAAUUGAUUACUCUUUAUAUUUAAGAGGAUAAGAUGACAAUUCCAAUUAUCCAUAACUAAAGCCCCUGCAUUAGAAAAAAGAUCAACACUCCUUUGUGAUGCUUGCAAAUGCAAUGUAUUGGUAUUUACAAUUCAACAUGUAUGCUAGCCUAAAGGAAAGUUAUUGAAUGACCAUGAUGACUAAUCAUCUGAAGAAAAUGAUUGGCAUGGAAAAGACUGUGGCAACCUUUAUGUUGUUCUUCUGUGUUUUCAUGUUUUUGAUUGCUCAAUUAAGCAAACUGACUGAGAUGUUUGAAAGUGAGAGCUAGUACCUACAUUUAAGUGUUUAAAUUACAAAGAAUGUUCUCUGACAAACUGGAAAAUUGAUCAUGGAAGUCAGCUGCAAAAAAGUCUUGAAAACCAUUACAAGCAUGACAUUGUGCAUAAUUAUAUAUUUCUGGCUUUAUGAAGGACCAGAACAAUGAAUUGACAUGGGUUUAUUCUACAGUAUAUGGAUUUUUAAAUUUUAUUUUUUUUUUUAGCCAGCAAACCUUUGCUUUUUUCUUAAUGAUAGUAAGUCUUAUCAAAUUUGUGAGUUUGUGUGUCAGACUUAUUGGUUGGACUUUUUACUCAUUAUCUUUUAUAAACAAGAUUCUUGAUAAUGAAAGUGAGCACAUAGAUCUUCAGUUGUAAAUUCAUGUCACACAAAUCUGUAUAGAGUUCCAUUUCUGGGGUAAACUUAAGUUUGUCAUAUGAGGAGGAACUAUGAUACUCAGGUGAGCAUUAAUGCUCACUGCCUUUUAAAUCAAAUGAACAUUAGUUUUUAUGCAAUUAACCAUCUGAAUUAUAAAUUGUAUGUUAGGUAAUUUUGUGAAAUAUUUAACUGUCAAAUAAAAAAGAAAAAUGUA